GGCUGGUUCGAAGGUAGUAAGUUAACUUGACUAUUCACAGUCAGUUACAGAUUGAACUCCUUGUUCUACUUUUUCCUCUUGUCAUUAUCACACUUGACUAGUUUUUA
rnacentral:Y_RNA from 1 species